CGGUAAUUCCAGCUCCAAUAGCGUAUAUUAAAAUUGUUGCCGUUAAAAAGCUCGUAGUCGAACUUCGGGCUCUGUCAGCCGGUCCGCCUUCUUGGUGUGUACUUGUUUGACGGAGCCUUACCUCCUGGUGAACGGCAAUGUCCUUUACUGGGUGUCGUCGCAAACCAGGACUUUUACUUUGAAAAAAUUAGAGUGUUCAAAGCAGGCCUUUGCCCGAAUACAUUAGCAUGGAAUAAUAAAAUAGGACGCGCGUUCCCAUUUUGUUGGUUUCUGAGAUCGCCGUAAUGAUUAAUAGGGGUAGUUGGGGGCAUUUGUAUUCCGUCGACAGAGGUGAAAUUCUUGGAUUGCCGGAAGACAAACUACUGCGAAAGCAUUUGCCAAGGAUGUUUUCAUUGAUCAAGAACGAAGGAAGGGGGAUCGAAAACGAUUAGAUACCGUUGUAGUCUCUUCUGUAAACUAUGCCAAUUGGGGAUCGGUACAGGAUUUUUAAUGACUGUAUCGGCACCCGAAGAGAAAUCUUUAAAUGAGGUUCGGGGGGGAGUAUGGUCGCAAGGCUGAAACUUAAAGGAAUUGACGGAAGGGCACCACCAGGUGUGGAGCCUGCGGCUUAAUUUGACUCAACACGGGGAAACUCACCAGGUCCAGACACAAUAAGGAUUGACAGAUUGAUAGCUCUUUCUUGAUCUUGUGGUUGGUGGUGCAUGGCCGUUCUUAGUUGGUGGAGUGAUUUGUCUGGUUAAUUCCGAUAACGAACGAGACCUUAACCUGCUAAAUAGACCAGCCGGCUUUGGCUAGCUGCUGUCUUCUUAGAGGGACUAUCAGCGUUUAGCUGAUGGAAGUUUGAGGCAAUAACAGGUCUGUGAUGCCCUUAGAUGUUCUGGGCCGCACGCGCGCUACACUGACAGAGCCAGCGAGUCUACCACCUUUGCCGGAAGGCAUGGGUAAUCUUGUGAAACUCUGUCGUGAUGGGGAUAGAACAUUGCAAUUAUUGUUCUUCAACGAGGAAUACCUAGUAAGCGUGAUUCAUCAGAUCGCGUUGAUUACGUCCCUGCCCUUUGUACACACCGCCC
rnacentral:rRNA from 1 species